UACGUAGGGUGCAAGCGUUGUCCGGAAUUAUUGGGCGUAAAGAGCUUGUAGGCGGUUUGUCGCGUCUGCUGUGAAAUUUCGGGGCUCAACCCCGAACUUGCAGUGGGUACGGGCAGACUAGAGUGUGGUAGGGGAGACUGGAAUUCCUGGUGUAGCGGUGAAAUGCGCAGAUAUCAGGAGGAACACCGGUGGCGAAGGCGGGUCUCUGGGCAGUAACUGACGCUGAGGAGCGAAAGCGUGGGGAGUGAACAGG
rnacentral:rRNA from 1 species